rnacentral:rRNA from 1 species
UGGGGAAUAUUGGACAAUGGGCGCAAGCCUGAUCCAGCCAUGCCGCGUGAGUGAUGAAGGCCCUAGGGUUGUAAAGCUCUUUCACCGGUGAAGAUAAUGACGGUAACCGGAGAAGAAGCCCCGGCUAACUUCGUGCCAGCAGCCGCGGUAAUACGAAGGGGGCUAGCGUUGUUCGGAUUUACAGGGCGUAAAGCGCACGUAGGCGGACUUUUAAGUCAGGGGUGAAAUCCCGGGGCUCAACCCCGGAACUGCCUUUGAUACUGGAAGUCUUGAGUAUGGUAGAGGUGAGUGGAAUUCCGAGUGUAGAGGUGAAAUUCGUAGAUAUUCGGAGGAACACCAGUGGCGAAGGCGGCUCACUGGACCAUUACUGACGCUGAGGUGCGAAAGCGUGGGGAGCAAACAGG